UAACUGAAGAGUUUGAUCAUGGCUCAGAUUGAACGCUGGCGGCAGGCUUAACACAUGCAAGUCGAGCGGGGGAAGGUAGCUUGCUACCGGACCUAGCGGCGGACGGGUGAGUAAUGCUUAGGAAUCUGCCUAUUAGUGGGGGACAACAUCUCGAAAGGGAUGCUAAUACCGCAUACGUCCUACGGGAGAAAGCAGGGGAUCUUCGGAUCUUGCGCUAAUAGAUGAGCCUAAGUCGGAUUAGCUAGUUGGUGGGGUAAAGGCCUACCAAGGCGACGAUCUGUAGCGGGUCUGAGAGGAUGAUCCGCCACACUGGGACUGAGACACGGCCCAGACUCCUACGGGAGGCAGCAGUGGGGAAUAUUGGACAAUGGGCGCAAGCCUGAUCCAGCCAUGCCGCGUGUGUGAAGAAGGCCUUAUGGUUGUAAAGCACUUUAAGCGAGGAGGAGGCUACUUU
rnacentral:rRNA from 1 species